UACGUAGGGUCCGAGCGUUGUCCGGAAUUAUUGGACGUAAAGGGCUCGUAGGCGGUCUGUUGCGUCGGGAGUGAAAACUUACAGCUUAACUGUGAGCGUGCUUCCGAUACGGGCAGACUUGAGGUAUUCAGGGGAGAACGGAAUUCCUGGUGUAGCGGUGAAAUGCGCAGAUAUCAGGAAGAACACCCGUGGCUAAGGCGGUUCUCUAGUACGGUACUGACGCUGAGACGCGAAAGCGUGGGGAGCGAACAGG
rnacentral:rRNA from 1 species